UGGGCGUGGUGGUGGAGG
rnacentral:miRNA from 1 species